rnacentral:lncRNA from 1 species
GGAGAACAACUUGGCUGCGUGCAAACCGCGAUUCAGACAUACUGACAUUAUUAAAGGACCCUGUAUUUCGCUUGUUCAUCAUCUAUAUAUAGAUGUAAGCAUGCAUUACAGAAUUCCAACAAAGGACACGAGGUCCCCUCAGGAGUACAAGAUCACAGCUCUCGUGGCAACAACAUCGGCCACAACGUAUGAUCGAAGCAGCAGCAGUAAAACUAAUUUAUUAGGGAAACAGUAGAACUAGUAAAGCAGUAAAUCAAACGGGGUGGAGCCAUGCAGCAAGGACGGCUGGCUUCCACGAUUUAUUUCGCUCUCACCAUGCAUCUGAAAUGGUUCCGGUCUCACGCUUAACGCACCCUGCAUACAUCAAAUGAAAGUUAAAACAAAACAAUCAUUUGUUAAUUCGUUAACUCAUGUGUCCAUCAGUCCAUGCAUGUAAUCAUAUAGAUCUAUGAAAAGUCCUAAAGCUGUAGCAUUAGGGCAACUGGGUAAGUAAUUACUUGGAGCAAUCGGUUCCUUGGCUGAUGGCGUAGGGGAUGUUGACGCCGCACUUGCCGGGGAUGCCGGCGACGAGGUUGGGCUUGAUGCCGCCCAUGCCGCUCGCCUGCUGCUUGAGACAGGUGCAGGUGGUCUUGCGGUCGGCGGGGGUGGCAGCGGCCGCGUUAAGGCCACGCACGCCGCUGCAGCAGCCGCCGCCAGGCACACUCACCCUGCCCAUGGCGUAACUGAUGCACGGGGCCAGGUAGCUCACCACCUGGCCGCAGUUCGCAACCGCACCCUCGGCCGGCGCCGGUGCCGCAGACAGCACGAGCGCCGCCACCAGCAGGGCCAAGGCCGCCGCGGCGUGGGCACGGCGAGCUGCCAUGGCAGAAACUAGCUAGUGUGCUUGCUCUGUGGGCUUAGUUGGUGUGUGAGUGAAGGCCGAGGGACUGUGAGUGAGUGGGUGAGGAUUUGGGGACUGGCUAGGAGGGUUUUUAUAGUGGUUUUGGGCCGGGUGGUCGACUGGUAAGAAAACAGUUAUUACUACGCGGAGUACGGCGGUGAGGUAGCUGGUGGUAGUUGGGACAUAUCUCUUCACUUACUAGGGAUGGAUUCAUUCAUGGCGCCUGCAGAUGGCAGAAGAGCCGUGUCGACGUCUAACAUACGUAUCUCUUCACUUAUCUCUGCAGUUCAGGAGGGCAAGGAUGGAAGCCCGCACUCCACUGUCUGCAUACGCGACGAAGCCUGCACUUCACCAUGCACAUAGGUCACGAGCUUUUGCCCGAUUUUUGUUUCAAAAAGAUCAAGAACAAUUAUAAAGGUUCACUGGAAAUGUAACCUAUUAGGACUUCUCGAGCAGGUGUAAGAUAUGUGUUGAUAAAAUUUAUUUUUUUCGCAAAUACGCAAAGCUUGCGAAUCCUACAGCUCCUCCUGGUAGCAUGGAUCAGCUAGGCGCUGGAGGUAGUGCCUCCAUCAAACACGCACGAAUUGCGAUGCUUUCAAAUUGACCAGGGAACGAGAAGAAUGAGCGAGGAAACGCCUUUCUUGUAGGCUGCCAGGACUGAAUCGUACGUAGUGUGCCACCGAUCCAGAAAGAUAUUUUGUGGCGAGGGAACCCGAGCAUGGUGAAGACACCAAGCGAAAGUGUCGUGCUAGAUUUGUCUCGAGAACGGGCAGCCCACCAGCAAGUGCUCCAUGGAUUCUGGUGCCUGGUCACGGAGCAGGCUGGACAGGACGUGUGAUGAGGAAGGUUGUGUCUAGCCAGGUGAGGGGCCGUCCAACACCGGUUUUGCAGCACGAGCCAAGCAAAAAAUUUGAUCCACAAAAGCGCCCAUGAUUUCCAAGUGAGCUACCAGUGGGGAGCGUUGAUGAAGCUGAAGAGGCCCAAAUAGCAUGACUUCACCGAAUAGAUGCCGAUGUCGGUCCAUCACCGGCGCAAGGAGUCAGGCACGCUGAUGAUAUGACAUGAAAUAAAUAAGAAGAUAGGGUAAAAUUGCAUAUAGAUUACUACUAGUAAUCAACAACCUUUGCACUAGCUCCAAGACAAAAUAUACUAGAACAAUCACAUUUAUUCUCACUUCCUACUGAGAGCAUGCUUGGAUACGUUUUAGUCCCAUGACUAAAAAUAGUGUGACUAAAACUUGCUAGUCUCACCCAUGCUUGGAUCCAAAUACUAAAGAGACUAAACUCUAGUUAUUGAGCAUUUAUUAUCCUCCAAACCCUCCAAUCCAGAACUAAGGAGAGGAAUUAAAUGAGGAGAGAGAGAGCUAAUACAUAUUUUAGUAGGUUUCCCAUGACUAAAAGAUUUUAGCCUCAAGACUAGUCCUAGCCUCUCUUUAGUCAGGGGUGCUUGGAACUUUAGCCUCUAAAAGAGACUAUUUUUAGUCAGACUAAAAAUAGUCCCUUGUAUCCAAGCACCCUCUGAACAAUUUAGAUAGUACAAAAUAUUGAAGUAAUUGUACGAUUAUUCAUUGAUUGAUUGAUGACAUAAACAUUUAACAAAGCUAUAUUUAACUUGUUGAAAAUGCCUUCAAAAUAGCGAAUGCUUGUUCGGUGGAGUGGGUGGCUGUUAUUUAUGUACAACUACUAGAGAGUAGUCAUUCCUAGCUACACAGGCUCCAUCGUGCGUCCAUGCAUGCAUGCAUGUUUCACUGUCAGGCACUAGUACAGUAGAUGUGGCGAAGUACACUGUUGCAGGCUUAAUUGCUGGCAGGCUAGCCAGCUACAGUACUACUGCCAUGCAUAAGUCCACGUCCAUGCGGCACCCGUACAAGAACUAGCUAGGCGCGCAUGUGUGCAUGUCUAUGGAAAACAACCAACCCAUUUACAUGGAGUGACAAACUAGGGGGAAGGUCUUGGAGAUUAUGUACUAUAUCUGCUCCAAAUAUAUGGACCCGUGUGUGUAGACUUGAUUCUCAGAGCGAAUGCGAAUGUGAUGUGCAGGGAUAUCAUGCCUCCAGUGAAAAGAAUUACGGAGGUGAUUUGUGUACGCACAUAUACUCCUUUCGGUCAUUUUUACUUUGCAUAUUAGGUUUGUCCGAAAUCAAUUUUAUCCAACUUUGACCAAGUUUAUAUAAAAAAAUUAUAGACAUUCACAUAACAACAUCAAUAUCAUUAGAUUCAUCUUGAAAUAUAUUCUCAUAUUAUAUUUAUUAGAUAUUAUAGAUGCUAAUAAUUUUUAAUAUAAAUUUGGUCAAACUUAGCAAAGUUUGACUUUCGACAAAUUCAAUAUACAGAGUAAAAAGGACCGGAGGGAGUACUAGCUAGGAGUCCGAAGAAUGGAGGGAGUGGGAAAAUAUCAGGUGCUACCAACACUUAAGUGAUACCAUGAUACGGGCUUCUGGGUCGUUGGAUCUCAGAUCCGACGGCUUCCGGAAGUUUAUUGCACCUACGCGAAAUUUUGAGACUUCCGGAUGAAUUUUUUUACAAAAUGCUCAAGAACUUCGGGAGCCGUCGGAUCUGAGAUCCAACGGCUCCCAGAAGCCCGUAUGAUGAUAUCACCUAACACAUGGUAUCACUUGAUAACUCCUGGAGGGAGUAGCAGGUACUAGUACGAGAAGUCCAUCGCUGCACGCAGCGGCAGCUGCACGCAGCGCAUCCACGGCUGGCACAUCAUCGCGAUUAGGACCAGCCGAAGUGCUACUUCGAGUAUAGUGCACCGCCGACGAGCGUUAUGUUUCGUGUAUGUUGUAUUCGUUGUACUGUGAACUAACAGUCGGACUGACGCAGCUACUGCAAGCACUGCGCAUGUGCAGGCGAGAGGACGGAAUACUACCGUUGCACCGCACAUUGUAUAACGUAAACACUUUACCCAGCUGCAUGUAUUUAAGGCCCAUGCACCAGCCGUUGGCAGUACCGAUCGUUUUGCACGCACACAAGCAUAUCUGCGUUGCCGCGUUCCGUCGACGUCGCCGUGCCGCGAUGUCCCAGAGCUCAUCCUCCGCACUAGCCGCUACGAUAGAUGUCUUGACGGUCGCACUAGCCGCUACGAGCGAAGACAAAUAAAAGUAGCAAUAGCUAAACUUCUCUAAACAAAACCCUAGUCUAACCUAGAUGAAGACUAUUUAUUUAUAAGUAGUAUAGAAAUCAACGCGCCGCCUUGAUGCUAUCUCCGUACACGUGAUGGGCCGUGUAGCGGCGUGGCAGACUUGGGCCCAUGCUCCUGGACUCUUUCUGGACUCCUCCGCCGUGUGCAUGCAUGCACAAGCAUGCCCGUACAUGGACGGGAAACUUGCAUGCGUGCUCAUCUCUAAUUAAGUAAAUCAAAC